AAUAGAUACCCAGGUAGUCCUAGCCGUAAACGAUGAGCACUUGGUUGGAGGCUCCUCCAUAGGCUUCCGGCCGUAGCGAAAGUGUUAAGUGCUCCGCCUGGGGAGUAUGGCCGCAAGGCUGAAACUCAAAGGAAUUGACGGGGGCUCACACAAGCGGUGGAGGAUGUGGCUUAAUUCGAGGCUACGCGAAGAACCUUAUCCUAGUCUUGACAUGCAUGGAUUAACCCUAUGAAAGUAGGGCCACGCCUUCGGGUGGAACAUGCACAGGUGCUGCAUGACUGUCGUCAGCUCGUGUCGUGAGAUGUCGCGUUAAGUCGCUUAACGAGCGAAACCCUUGUCCUUAGUUGCCAGCGGGUUCAUGCCGGGGGUACUCUAAGGAGACUGCCGGUGUUAAACCGGAGGAAGGUGGGGAUGACGUCAAGUCCUCAUGGCCUUUAUGACUAGGGCUGCACACGUCCUACAAUGGCGCGCACAAACGGGGAAGCAAACUCGCGAGAGCCAGCAAAUCCCGAAAAAACCGGCGCCUCAGUUCGGU
rnacentral:rRNA from 1 species